UAGUUGAUUUCAUAGGUAGUUUGU
rnacentral:piRNA from 1 species